rnacentral:rRNA from 1 species
CGUGAAAUUGUUGAAAGGGAAGCGCUUGCAACCAGACUUGAGCGCGGCGGUUCCCCCGGUCUUUUGGCCGGGCUACUCCGUCGUGUCCAGGCCAACAUCGGUUCUGAGGGUCGGUCAAAGGCCUUGGGAAUGUAUCUACCUACGGGUAGACUUAUAGACCAGGGUGUCAUGCGGCCUCUCGGGACCGAGGAACGCGCUUCGGCUCGGAUGUUGGCGUAAUGGUUGUCAGCGACCCGUCUUGAAACACGG